GGCGGCAGGCUUAACACAUGCAAGUCGAGCGGUAGCAGAUCUAGCUUGCUAGAUGCUGACGAGCGGCGGACGGGUGAGUAACGCGUAGGAACCUGCCCAGUAGUGGGGGAUAGCCCGGGGAAACUCGGAUUAAUACCGCAUACGCUCUACAGAGGAAAGAGGGGGCUUCGGCUCUCGCUAUUGGAUGGGCCUGCGUGAGAUUAGCUAGUUGGUGAGGUAAUGGCUCACCAAGGCGACGAUCUCUAGCUGGUCUGAGAGGAUGAUCAGCCACACUGGGACUGAGACACGGCCCAGACUCCUACGGGAGGCAGCAGUGGGGAAUAUUGCACAAUGGGCGCAAGCCUGAUGCAGCCAUGCCGCGUGUGUGAAGAAGGCUUUCGGGUUGUAAAGCACUUUCAGUGGGGAGGAAGGCCUCGUAGUUAAUAGCUGCGAGGAUUGACGUUACCCACAGAAGAAGCACCGGCUAACUCCGUG
rnacentral:rRNA from 1 species